rnacentral:rRNA from 1 species
AUUGAACGCUGGCGGCAGGCCUAACACAUGCAAGUCGAGCGAGAGGCGGACGGGUGAGUAAUGUGUGGGAAACUGCCUGAGGGAGGGGGGUAAAUACUGGAAACGGUAGCUAAUACCGCAUACCAUCAGAGGUGCCCAGAGGGGAUUAGCUAGUAGGUGGGGUAAUGGCUCACCUAGGCGACGCUCCCUAGCUGGUCUGAGAGGAUGACCAGCCACACUGGAACUGAGACACGGUCCAGACUCCUACGGGAGGCAGCAGUGGGGAAUAUUGCACAAUGGGCGCAAGCCUGAUGCAGCCAUGCCGCGUGUGUGAAGAAGGCCUUCGGGUUGUAAAGCACUUUCUGCGGGGAGGCGUUACCCGCAGAAGAAGCACCGGCUAACUCCGUGCCAGCAGCCGCGGUAAUUC